rnacentral:rRNA from 1 species
UACGUAGGGUGCGAGCGUUGCCCGGAUUUAUUGGGCGUAAAGGGCGCGUAGGCGGCUCUGCACGUUCGUUGUGAAAUCGCCCGGCUCAACUGGGCGGGGUCAGCGGAUACGGCGGAGCUUGAGCAAGCUAGGGGGCAAUGGAAUUCCCGGUGUAGUGGUGGAAUGCGUAGAUAUCAGGAGGAACACCGGUGGCGAAGGCGGGUCUCUGGGCAGUAACUGACGCUGAGGAGCGAAAGCGUGGGGAGCGAACAGG